UACGUAGGGGGCGAGCGUUGUCCGGAAUUACUGGGCGUAAAGGGUGCGUAGGCGGUAAAUUAAGUUGGAUGUGAAAUUCCCGGGCUCAACUUGGGGAGUGCAUCCAAAACUGGUUAACUAGAGUGCAGGAGAGGGAAGCGGAAUUCCUAGUGUAGCGGUGAAAUGCGUAGAUAUUAGGAGGAACACCAGUGGCGAAGGCGGCUUUCUGGACUGUAACUGACGCUGAGGCACGAAAGCGUGGGGAGCAAACAGG
rnacentral:rRNA from 1 species